ACAAUGCAAGGAGGACCAAACCCGGCAAAAGGACCAGGGGCCUGUGACUAUGAGCCAAAGGGUCACCCUUGAACUUGAGCUUGGGACGCUGAGGAAAGGCAUUCCCAGACAGGGCAGUGAGAAAACACCCUUGGAUCCAGGACAGUGCUGUGGCCAGAAGAUCCUCCCUGGCUCCACCACAUUUAGGGCUUGCCUCUCCAGGGAUGCAGGAUCCAGGCUGGGUGUAAAUGUUUCCUGUGGUUCCACCCCGCCCUCCCUCGACGAGGAAGUUAGUGGUUUCUGUGAUGGAGGGGGCUCAGGGUGAGGAGCAAGUGCAAGUUCUGGGCAUGCGCCACAGAGGUCUGGUAGAACUGCCUGCUCAGGGCUCCUGUGCCUCAGAGGGCCAGACUUGUCAAGGCAGGCUGACUGCUGUGACCAGGAACGGGGCUGAGGAGCCAUAGGGAACAACACCCAGGUUCCUGGUUCCCCAGACCAGCUGCAGCAGCACAGCCUGGUUGGCCCUCAAGGCUCCUGCACAAGGAUAUUUGUAUUAGCUUGGCACAAGGGUAACCUGGACUCCAAUCCCUGUUUGCCCGAACCCCUACCCUGCAGGACUGCACUCAACAAGGCCACCUCUGAACACCUGGUACAAUGGCAUGAUGGCACAACCUCCUGCCCACACUUCCCCCUCCAACUCAGUGAAGUCAUCUUUCACAGCGUUCAGCAGAAACGGGCCUUUCUAUGACACAGGGAAUUCAGCAGGUCACCCGGUGGAAAGGACAGAUGUGCCAAAUCCAGCAUGCCCCAUGGCACUCCCACGCCUGAUCCCAGUGACACUGAACACUCAAGGAGCCUCCGACUGUGCCUGCCACGACUCUGGGGCAGCUCAGGGAGAAACAGCCUGGAAGACACACACACAGGACCCAGGUGUGUGUGGGUGGGGUGUCCUGAAGGCAGGUCCUGGAGGUGUGGCCUGAGAGGGACCCACAGGGGACUGGUUUGCAUCACCCUGGAGUGUGGACUGGGUGUGGGGCAUGAGGCACCUCUCCCCAAGAUGGGGAUGUGAAAGUGCCCAUUCUCCCAGGGAGGGCAGGGCAUCUGUGAACACUCGUGUGUGUGUGUGUGUGUGUGUGUGUGUGUGUGUGUGUGUUAGGGUCAAGACAACAUUCCAGGUUGCAUAUUUAGAGCAAAAACCUUCCUUGGCAUACCACCCUGAGCCUUGACUCUACACUGUGUUUAGGAACCUGGUUCCCCUGCUUUGUGCACAGAGCCCACUGGUCACCUCUGAGACAGGCGCGGAAGCUCGUGGAUACCUCUCCACCCUCCUGCCGUCUCUCCACAGCCCAAUACCCUCUGGUAGCCAACAGUUUCACACCCGCAUGCCGCCCAGCCCACGGCCCUCCCACUUAGGGCACAGCGUCCUGGUCCAGGCCCAUCUCACUCACCUUGGA